CCAGGCAUGUCUAGUAUAGCAUUAUACAGCGAAACUGCGAAUGGCUCAUUAAAUCAGUUAUCGUUUAUUUGAUAGUACCUUACUACUUGGAUAACCGUGGUAAUUCUAGAGCUAAUACAUGCUAAAAACCCCGACUCACGAAGGGGUGUAUUUAUUAGAUUAAAAACCAAUGCCCUUCGGGGCUCUUUGGUGAUUCAUAAUAACUUUUCGAAUCGCAUGGCCUUGCGCCGGCGAUGGUUCAUUCAAAUUUCUGCCCUAUCAACUUUCGAUGGCAGGGUCUUGGCCUGCCAUGGUUACAACGGGUAACGGAGGGUUAGGGCUCGACCCCGGAGAAGGAGCCUGAGAAACGGCUACUACAUCCAAGGAAGGCAGCAGGCGCGCAAAUUACCCAAUCCCGAUUCGGGGAGGUAGUGACAAUAAAUACUGAUACAGGGCUCUUUUGGGUCUUGUAAUUGGAAUGAGUACAAUUUAAAUCCCUUAACGAGGAACAAUUGGAGGGCAAGUCUGGUGCCAGCAGCCGCGGUAAUUCCAGCUCCAAUAGCGUAUAUUAAAGUUGUUGCAGUUAAAAAGCUCGUAGUUGAACCUUGGGCCUGGCUGGCCGGUCCGCCUCACCGCGUGCACUGGUUCGGCCGGGCCUUUCCCUCUGGGGAACCUCAUGGUCUUCACUGAUCGUGAUGGGGAACCAGGACUUUUACUGUGAAAAAAUUAGAGUGUUCAAAGCAGGCCUAUGCUCGAAUACAUUAGCAUGGAAUAAUAAAAUAGGACGUGUGGUUCUAUUUUGUUGGUUUCUAGGACCGCCGUAAUGAUUAAUAGGGACAGUCGGGGGCAUCAGUAUUCAAUUGUCAGAGGUGAAAUUCUUGGAUUUAUUGAAGACUAACUACUGCGAAAGCAUUUGCCAAGGAUGUUUUCAUUAAUCAGGAACGAAAGUUAGGGGAUCGAAGACGAUCAGAUACCGUCGUAGUCUUAACCAUAAACUAUGCCGACUAGGGAUCGGACGGUG
rnacentral:rRNA from 1 species